rnacentral:rRNA from 1 species
UACGAAGGGGGCGAGCGUUGUUCGGAAUUACUGGGCGUAAAGGGCGCGUAGGCGGCGACUCAAGUUAGAUGUGAAAGUCCUGGGCUUAACCUGGGGACUGCAUUUGAUACUGGGUUGCUUGAAUUCGGGAGAGGAUAGCGGAAUUCCAGGUGUAGCGGUGAAAUGCGUAGAUAUCUGGAGGAACACCGGUGGCGAAGGCGGCGUUCUGGACUGCAACUGACACUGAGAAACGAAAGCCAGGGGAGCAAACGGG